rnacentral:rRNA from 1 species
GACGAACGCUGGCGGCGUGCUUAACACAUGCAAGUCGAACGGAAAGGCCCUGCUUUUGUGGGGUGCUCGAGUGGCGAACGGGUGAGUAACACGUGAGUAACCUGCCCUUGACUUUGGGAUAACUUCAGGAAACUGGGGCGAAUACCGGAUAGGAGCUCCUGCUGCAUGGUGGGGGUUGGAAAGUUUCGGCGGUUGGGGAUGGACUCGCGGCUUAUCAGCUUGUUGGUGGGGUAGUGGCUUACCAAGGCUUUGACGGGUAGCCGGCCUGAGAGGGUGACCGGCCACAUUGGGACUGCGAUACGGCCCAGACUCCUACGGGAGGCAGCAGUGGGGAAUAUUGCGCAAUGGGCGGAAGCCUGAUGCAGCAACGCCGCGUGCGGGAUGACGGCCUUCGGGUUGUAAACCGCUUUCGCCUGUGACGAAGCGUGAGUGACGGUAAUGGGUAAAGAAGCACCGGCUAACUACGUG